rnacentral:rRNA from 1 species
CCUACGGGAGGCAGCAGUGAGGAAUAUUGGUCAAUGGGCGUAAGGCUGAACCAGCCAAGUCGCGUGAAGGAUGACGGCCCUACGGGUUGUAAACUUCUUUUAUACGGGAAUAAAGGUAUCCACGUGUGGAUAUUUGCAUGUACCCUAUGAAUAAGCAUCGGCUAACUCCGUGCCAGCAGCCGCGGUAAUACGGAGGAUGUGAGCGUUAUCCGGAUUUAUUGGGUUUAAAGGGUGCGUAGGUUGUUUUUUAAGUCAGCGGUGAAAGGUUGUGGCUCAACCAUAAAAUUGCCGUUGAAACUGGAAGGCUUGAGUCUGUUUGAGGCAGGCGGAAUGCGUGGUGUAGCGGUGAAAUGCAUAGAUAUCACGAAGAACUCCGAUUGCGAAGGCAGCUUACUAAGCCAUAACUGACACUGAAGCACGAAAGCGUGGGGAUCAAACAGGAUUAGAUACCCUUGUAGUC